AGAAGAUACCCUCUACUAGUCACUUGACGGGCAGGAGGUGCAACGCGGAAGGAAACAUCACGGAUUGGGGGUACUGGAAACUUUUAAAAGGGAGAGCCAUGGUAACCUGCCCCUGCCUUCUACCUCGUCUCUGUGUGUGGCAUCCUGGAGCCAUGUUUCCACCAACGUCUUGACUGUGGCAGAUCUGAGAAACUCUACAUUAUACACAAAUGUUCUCUGGCCCCAGAGAUUAUCGCAGUACAUUGGGUGAGGGUAAGGGGUGAUGAUUCAGGAAGCCAGAAGGCUUGUGGCAGAAUGUCUUCAUUUUGCUGGAACAUCAUGAAAAACUACCUGAUCAGAGUGUCCAUAUGUAAAGAGUUGUAGCAAGUAUACAUGUGUGAGGAGGAAGUAAUUCUCUUUCAAAAAAUCAAGGAAAGGGAGGCAGGAAAAUGAAGUAAUUAGGAGUGUAAAUAGAGAUUAAGCUACAUUUAUACUUUAGUGUUCUCAUUUCAUACUUGUGUGACUUUGGGCAAGGUACUUACCCCUCUCAUUCUUGGUUAUCUCAUAUGUAAAAUGGUGAUAAUAUUGUCAUUUAGGAUUUCAGAGAAAAUGAAACAAGACAGUGUAUCUAAAGUGCUUAGAUGGUUCCUGACUCCAAAAAGUUUUGGUUUUUAUUAAGAUACUGCAAGCCUGCCUUUGACCACUGAUUACUUCUGCCUGAGUUGGAGAGAAGUCAUGUUUGUAUAAUAUGUGAUACUGCAUAUAUGAACACAGAAUUUCUUAUUAGUCCCAGGAAAUAUAUUUUGGUAGUUAGAUAUUUAAAAAAAAAUUAGAAUUAUUUCUGGGCUAUCCUUUAAGAUAAUAUUUCAAAAGUUACGUACAUUUCAUACUUUAUUUUCUAUUGUCAUUUCAAUUAUUGUUCAAUUGUCUCUCAAACAAGAUUUUUAAAAAUAUACUACCAGUUCAUUAAUUGAAAUAUUUUCUUGAAUAGAGUGUAAAUGAAUAAAUAUAAUUAUUCAAA
rnacentral:lncRNA from 1 species